rnacentral:misc_RNA from 1 species
UACGUAGGGUGCGAGCGUUGUCCGGAAUUAUUGGGCGUAAAGAGCUCGUAGGCGGUGUGUCGCGUCGGCCGUGAAAACCUGGGCUUAACUCUGGGCCUGCGGUCGAUACGGGCAUCACUUGAGUUCGGCAGGGGAGACUGGAAUUCCUGGUGUAGCGGUGAAAUGCGCAGAUAUCAGGAGGAACACCGGUGGCGAAGGCGGGUCUCUGGGCCGAUACUGACGCUGGGGCGCGAAAGCGUGGGUAGCGAACAGG